AGCGAACGCUGGCGGCAGGCCUAACACAUGCAAGUCGAACGAAGUCUUCGGGCUUAGUGGCGGACGGGUGAGUAACACGUGGGAACGUGCCCUUUGGUACGGAAUAACUCAGGGAAACUUGAGCUAAUACCGUAUGUGCCCUUCGGGGGAAAGAUUUAUCGCCAUUGGAGCGGCCCGCGUCUGAUUAGCUAGUUGGUGAGGUAAAGGCUCACCAAGGCGACGAUCAGUAGCUGGUCUGAGAGGAUGAUAAGCCACAUUGGGACUGAGACACGGCCCAAACUCCUACGGGAGGCAGCAGUGGGGAAUCUUGCGCAAUGGGCGAAAGCCUGACGCAGCCAUGCCGCGUGAAUGAUGAAGGUCUUAGGAUUGUAAAAUUCUUUCACCGGGGACGAUAAUGACGGUACCCGGAGAAGAAGCCCCGGCUAACUUCGUGCCAGCCGCCGCAGUAAUAC
rnacentral:rRNA from 1 species